GAUGAACGCUGGCGGCGUGCCUAAUACAUGCAAGUCGAGCGAACGGACGAGAAGCUUGCUUCUCUGAUGUUAGCGGCGGACGGGUGAGUAACACGUGGAUAACCUACCUAUAAGACUGGGAUAACUUCGGGAAACCGGAGCUAAUACCGGAUGAUAUUUUGAACCGCAUGGUUCAAAAGUGAAAGACGGUCUUGCUGUCACUUAUAGAUGGAUCCGCGCUGCAUUAGCUAGUUGGUAAGGUAACGGUUUACCAAGGCAACGAUGCAUAGCCGACCUGAGAGGGGGAUCGGCCACACUGGAACUGAGACACGGUCCAGACUCCUAAGGGAGGCAGCAGUAGGGAAUCUUCCGCAAUGGGCGAAAGCCUGACGGAGCAACGCCGCGUGAGUGAUGAAGGUCUUCGGAUCGUAAAACUCUGUUAUUAGGGAAGAACAUAUGUGUAAGUAACUGUGCACAUCUUGACGGUACCUAAUCAGAAAGCCACGGCUAACUACGUG
rnacentral:rRNA from 1 species